CCUUCAGGAUGGGGACAACAGUCGGAAACGACUGCUAAUACCGAAUAAGUUCCAAGAGCCGCAUGGCCCAUGGAAGAAAGGUGGCCUCUACCUGUAAGCUAUCGCCUGAAGAGGGGUUUGCGUCUGAUUAGCUGGUUGGAGGGGUAACGGCCCACCAAGGCGACGAUCAGUAGCCGGUCUGAGAGGAUGAACGGCCACACUGGAACUGAGACACGGUCCAGACUCCUACGGGAGGCAGCAGUGGGGAAUCUUCCGCAAUGGGCGAAAGCCUGACGGAGCAACGCCGCGUGAGUGAUGACGGCCUUCGGGUUGUAAAACUCUGUGAUCCGGGACGAAAAGGCAGAGUGCGAAGAACAAACUGCAUUGACGGUACCGGAAAAGCAAGCCACGGCUAACUACGUGCCAGCAGCCGCGGUAAUACGUAGGUGGCAAGCGUUGUCCGGAAUUAUUGGGCGUAAAGCGCGCGCAGGCGGCUUCCCAAGUCCCUCUUAAAAGUGCGGGGCUUAACCCCGUGAUGGGAAGGAAACUGGGAAGCUGGAGUAUCGGAGAGGAAAGUGGAAUUCCUAGUGUAGCGGUGAAAUGCGUAGAGAUUAGGAAGAACACCGGUGGCGAAGGCGACUUUCUGGACGAAAACUGACGCUGAGGCGCGAAAGCGUGGGGAGCAAACAGGAUUAGAUACCCUGGUAGUCCACGCCGUAAACGAUGGAUACUAGGUGUAGGAGGUAUCGACCCCUCCUGUGCCGGAGUUAACGCAAUAAGUAUCCCGCCUGGGAA
rnacentral:rRNA from 1 species